GAGCUGCUGAUGUCAUCUUGUGGCCUUAGCAUCCUCCUCAUGUUAGGGUCCCACCACCUGUCCUCAGUGGUAAGAAAAAUGAAAGAGAAUGUGUUCAUGUCUCAAGGGUUCACAGACUCACAUCCAGCCCUGGUUGGCUCCAAGAUCCAGUGAAUUGGACAUUUAUGUCCGCGAGGAUCUGAGAGCCACACAACACAUUUCUCAAGCUCAGACUGAGUCUAAGCUCUAGGCUGGGUCCCUGAGAAGUUUAUCCAGCACAACAACAUCUGCAUUGGUUUUUCCAGUCGUCUGCCAACAGGUGGGCAAGAAGGGGACAUAACAAGAUGUCAUUCAUAAUUUAGAAUUCAUCACUGAAAAGGGCUCUGCAGUAACAGUCCAACCUCAAUUACUUCCAAGAUGCCUUUCCAGCGCUGCUCCCCGAUGCCGUGUCACCCCGAGGUUGCAGGAUUCUUUAGGAUUCUUUUCCCCACCUCCUUCACUCUGCCUUCUCAUUGCCCCGCCUGUCACAAAGCCAUUUUAUCUCUGGAGGAGUUUUAUGCCUGGGAUAUAUGACCAGAAUACAUGAAGGUCUUUUAAAUUUAUUUUCAAUAGCCCCACCACUCUUCUCCAUGAAAUAUUUAGCAUUUAACUCGUUAUUUCGGCUGCUGGCGAAGUCUCGGGUGCAAGGUGGCUUUGUAGAGAUGGCAGAAUGUCACACCAAGGAGGGGACACGACAGCCCAUUGAAUGGAAGCAAACCAGGUGACAGAGCCAUUAAGAAGCGGCGGAUACAACGGAACAUGUUCUCCCAGCACAGAAGAGCAGAGGACUGACACAGAGAACGGUGCUCAUGGAGAAGCAGACACAAGGAGCCCCUGCUGCCUGACACACAUACGAAAUGCCUGGAAGAGGCAAACCAUGGAGACAGAAGGUGGCUGAGCCCUUGCCUCAGGCUGGGAGUUGCGGUGUGGGAGCAGAGGGGCAGGAAGUUUCUUCAGGGGUAAUAGAAAUAUUCUAAGAUUUGCCUGUAGCAGUGACUGAAUAGUUCUGUAAGUAUACUAAAAUAAAAAAAAAGUCAUCGAUUGGCUCAAAUAAACAAAU